rnacentral:rRNA from 1 species
AGUGAACGCUGGCGGUAGGCCUAACACAUGCAAGUCGAACGGCAGCACAGUAAGAGCUUGCUCUUACGGGUGGCGAGUGGCGGACGGGUGAGGAAUACAUCGGAAUCUACUUUUUCGUGGGGGAUAACGUAGGGAAACUUACGCUAAUACCGCAUACGACCUACGGGUGAAAGCAGGGGAUCUUCGGACCUUGCGCGAUUCAAUGAGCCGAUGUCGGAUUAGCUAGUUGGCGGGGUAAAGGCCCACCAAGGCGACGAUCCGUAGCUGGUCUGAGAGGAUGAUCAGCCACACUGGAACUGAGACACGGUCCGGACUCCUACGGGAGGCAGCAGUAGGGAAUAUUGGACAAUGGGCGCAAGCCUGAUCCAGCAAUACCGCGUGGGUGAAGAAGGCCUUCGGGUUGUAAAGCCCUUUUGUUGGGAAAGAAAAGCAGCAGGUUAAUACCCCGCUGUUCUGACGGUACCCAAAGAAUAAGCACCGGCUAACUUCGUG